UACAGAGGUGGCAAGCGUUGUUCGGAAUUACUGGGCGUAAAGGGCGCGUAGGCGGUCUUUUAAGUCUUGUGUGAAAUCCCUCGGCUCAACUGAGGAACUGCACGGGAUACUGGAAGACUUGAGUUCGGGAGAGGGGAAGCGGAAUUCCGGGUGUAGCGGUGAAAUGGCGUAGAUAUCCGGAGGAACACCGGGUGGCGAAGGCGGCUUC
rnacentral:rRNA from 1 species